rnacentral:rRNA from 1 species
CAAUAGCGUAUAUUAAAGUUGCUGCAGUUAAAAAGCUCGUAGUUGGAUCUCGGGUGCAGGCUUGCGGUCCGCCUCGCGGCGGUCACUGCUCGCCCUGACCUCCAGGCCGGUGUCACCGUCCCUUGGUGCUCUUGAUUGAGUGUCUCGGGCGGCCGGUACGUUUACUUUGAAGAAAUUAGAGUGCUCAAAGCAGGCCCUUGUCGCCUGAAUAAUGGUGCAUGGAAUAAUGGAAUAGGACCUCGGUUCUAUUUUGUUGGCUCUCGGAGCUCGAGGUAAUGAUUAAUAGGGACUGACGGGGGCAUUCGUAUUGCGGCGCUAGAGGUGAAAUUCUUGGACCGUCGCAAGACGAACUACAGCGAAAGCAUUUGCCAAGCAUGUUUUCAUUAAUCAAGAACGAAAGUCAGAGGUUCGAAGACGAUCAGAUACCGUCGUAGUUCUGACCAUAAACGAUGCCAACCGUCGAUCCGCCGGAGUUGCUUCAAUGACUCGGCGGGCAGACUCCGGGAAACCAAAGUUUCUGGGUUCCGGGGGGAGUAUGGUUGCAAAGCUGAAACUUAAAGGAAUUGACGGAAGG